UACGUAGGGGGCAAGCGUUGUCCGGAAUCAUUGGGCGUAAAGAGCGUGUAGGCGGCCAGAUAAGUCCGCUGUGAAAUCUCGAGGCUCAACUUCGAGCUGUCGGUGGAAACUGUCUGGCUAGAGUCCGGAAGAGGAGAAUGGAAUUCCUGGUGUAGCGGUGAAAUGCGCAGAUAUCAGGAGGAACACCAAUGGCGAAGGCAGCACUCUGGGACGUGACUGACGCUGAGACGCGAAAGCGUGGGGAGCGAACCGG
rnacentral:rRNA from 1 species